rnacentral:sRNA from 1 species
AACUAGCCCUUAUAGUAAUGGAAAGCUUUUGAAAGCUCGUUUAUUAGUUUUUAUAUUUUUUCAAAGCGACCGGAGGAAGCUCUUGAAAAAAUAAUUAAAACUUUAACGAGACGAAAAACUUGAAAUGAAUAGCAGGAUUUAGC